ensembl:lncRNA
UGUGGGCAUCUCCUUCCUGCCCCAUCCACAGGGGUCUCUGAACCCCAGGAUGGCCUUACCAUAGCCUCAGUUCCUAGGAUGCCCUCAGGAUGUUCCCGGCUCCCUCACACACCCCUCCUCCCAGAUCUCCAGCCCCAGGUUACCUUCAGGAGCAGUCUCAUGCUCACGUGCUGCUCUCCCCUGCACCACUUCUUAAAGGUGUAGGAUCUCUCCCUGGGGGAGUGGGGAAAGAAAGAAAGAAAGACUAUGGGAUGGUUGAAGGGCAAAUCCCAUUUGUUUUAGAUCCCAAAAGAUCCAAACAGCCUGGGGCCUGGAUGAGGGAUUUCACUGGGUUGCUCUGAGCCCCGAGGUCCCCAUGGGACUGGGGAGGGGCCUCUCCUGUUGUCACCUGGGGCCUCCAUUCCCAUAUCUACCACACAGAUCUGUUUUGAACACUCUUGGUUUCAGUUGGAUGGAGAUUUCUGUUGCUGCAAAGGAAACACUUGAGAAUCUCCAACUGGGCUCAAGUCAGGAUCUGAUAUUGAAGGAAAUGAGUUCCUGGGCAGAACCGCUGGCCUAAGGGCCCUGAGAGGCUCAGAGACCCAGGAACUGGAUCAGUCUGUGUCCCAGGCAUUCACUGUCUCCCAGGUGGUCUCAGCUGACUGCGGGGGCCAUGGCGACCCAUUGCCGGCUGCCAGGUCCACCUCCCCCUCGUGGUGCUUGGAUAGAGAGCAGCCUACCCACCUGGAUACUUGUCCCCAGGUGUCUUUGAGACGCUUAAUGGCAGGGCUCUGCAGAGCAGAAAGGAUCAUGUGGAACGAUGAGAAAUUUCUGAGGCCUAGGCACCCCUGGGGAAGGGAAGAGAUUGAGCUGUGAGUGGGGGCUGGAGCUCUCCAGCUCUGGAUUCUGUCCCCUCAUGGACUUCUCCUGUCCUGGAUGAGACAGAUGCCCAGGAAACCCAGGGAGGGCACACCUGGGACCUGAGGAGUAACACUGCCAGGCACAAGGAUUUUUAGCUGAACACAAGGAAGGAGCACAGGAAAGAAGUGAGCUUGCCACCACCAGGACUUCAAGUCAAGGUCAGUGUGGCCCUGGCAGGAGUGUCUAGGACCAGUGCAGGGAUUCAGACCACAGACUUCAAUAUCGACAGCUGAGAAACAAGAGGCAAUUCCCAUGAUUCCAGACAGGGCCUCCAUGGGCCUCCCAUGACUUACCUCGGCCACAUGAAUCCACAGCUCCACCACCCUGGCCCUGUCCUGCGUUGUCAUGCCCAGGGCCCUGAGGCACGUAUCGAUGACACUGUUGGCCAAUGUGUUCCUGUGUGCCACAGUGUCACGGAUGGUGGGUGCCAGGUACUUGUGGUCCCUGCUGCUGUCUCGCUGGGACCAGAUGGAGCCCAGGCAGUGGGCAGGCACCAAAUUCUUGAACAGCUCCUGAGGAAGAUUCAGAGUGUUGCCAACACUGCCUCACCCCAGCCCGGCAUCCAUGGUCCCCCACAGUCCCAGGUGGGUUGAGGACAGAGCGGGAGCUCAGGAAGCAGAGGAUGUGAUCUCUGAGGUGUGUGGGAUUCCCUGGGUUUUGUCUGUGUCCACUGAAGGUGUCAGCACAAGAUGACCGGGACACAGUGCUGUGCAGAAGGGAGGGCAUUUGCUCCCAGCCCCCAUCUCACUUCCUCCAGGCUCCGGAAAACAGCCCUCACCGGCCCACCCC